rnacentral:ncRNA from 2 species
AUUUCAUCACGAGUAGCGGAGGGAACGGCCCUUUGAAGCUACGGCAACCAUUCUUUAUGAAACGGUGCCAAAUCCGACGGAUAUUCCGACAGAUGAUGU